UUGAAUCCACAACUUAUGAAAUAACAACUGAAAUGUAAUCGAAUCAAAUUGCAAGCAUGUACAUGGUUUCGAAUCACCCCCAACUAAGGGGGUUUAGUUCCUCAUACUCACAACACAAAGUUUAUUGAAUUGAAACAUCGAAGACAUAAGAAAGAUUACACCUAAAAUGCCAAGGAAGUCCACUUUGAAAUCUGCACAGAAAGCUCCUCUUUCUUCUUCUCCUUGCUGCGGCAGUGAGGGUUAGGGGGUUUUUGGAUGGUUUUGGAUGAGGAGAAUGGUGGAAAACCUAUCUAGGAUGGGUGUAGGGCACGGCUAGGAAGGUUUGGGGUCAGAAAAUAUGGAGUUGGGUGAAGGUUGGGCUCGGCAAAGGUGAGGGACAGGUUCUGGCGUGAAUGGAGUUUCUGGAUGUGUUUUUGGUUUUUUUAGAAUGGAGUUAGGAUGGUAGGGUGGUGCGGCAAGGUGUGGGAAAGAGUUAUGGAGGUGUGGAAUGGUGUCUAAAGGUGGAGGAUGGUGGCUGGAAUGGAUGAAUGGCUGCGGCAAGGAAGGGAUUUGGGUGAUGGUGGCUGCGGCAAGGUGGGGAAAGGGAUGUAGUUUUCUGAUUUUUAUGGAGAGGGAAGAAGAUGUGCGGCUAGGGUGGUAAAACACAAAUAUAUAAGCACCUAAAACCCUAAUGAAAUCAGAUUAGACCACAAUGGGCUAGGGUUUAACAUGGCAGAUUUUAGAUGAUUAGGCCCUAGGGUUCGGCAUGGGUUGAAGGUCCACAAGCAAAUUUUGGGUUUAGGUCAUCUAAAAGCCCAACGCCAAGAAUAGAAACUCUCGAAAAUGGAAACCUCCAAGAAUAGAAACUUCCAACUUUUAGAAACUUUGGUUGCCAAUUCCGAUUUAGGAAAGAUCGACCCAAAAUGGAAACUUUUAGGCUUAGCUUUCCUACUUCAAGUAGGAAACCUCAAAUCUUCAAUUCUUCAAUUCCAUCCCAACCUUGCGUUCCAAGCAUGUCCUUUUCAAUUCAAGCUCACUUUUUGCUCCAAAAGCUCCCAAUUGCAUCAUUUCAUGUAAUACGUCCGCUAAACCUGAAAACACAAGAAAGUAGCUUAAAAGACUAUUUUAACAAAGAAAACAUACAAAAGUGCAUAAGAACUAGCUAACUAAGGCGCAUAAAUAUGCUCCUAUCAAAUUCCCCCACACUUAGCUUUUGCUAGUC
rnacentral:lncRNA from 1 species